AAGUUUAGGUUAACUACAAACCAAGGACCUUCAAAGCCCUAAACAUCGAGACCCCCCUCUAUAACUUCUG
rnacentral:tRNA from 2 species